rnacentral:rRNA from 1 species
GUGAAAUUCAGUUUAAUUUGAAAUUUAUUUAUUAUUGUUUAUAAAAAUUUAAAAUUUAUUAAAAUAAGAAUAUUUUUUUUUAUUAUUUUAUAGAAAAAAUUUAUUUUAUUAUAGUUAAUUAUUAUUGAAGAAGAAUUAAAAUAAUUAUUUUUAAGAAAUAUUAAUUUUUUGUACCUUGUGUAUCAGGGUUUAUUAAAAAUUAAUUUAAAUAAAUUUAUCUCGAAUUUAAAAGAGCUAAAAAAUUAUAUUUUUUAUUGUAAAAUAAAUAUUAUUAAUAAUUUUUUAGUAAUGAAAUGUUAUUCGUUUUUAAAGUUAUCUAGUUUUUUAAGAAAUAAAUUUAAUUUAUUUAUUAUUAAUAAAAAUUUAAAUUUUUAAUUUUUUAUUAUUAAUAGUUAAUAUUUUUAGGGAUGAGCUUAAAAAUAGAUUCUUAUUAAUUUAUAUAUUUAAUAAAAUUGUAGGAUUAAAAUUUUUUAUCAAUAAAAAAAUGUUAUAAUUAAUUUAUAAUAAAAUAUUAUUUGUAUUUAUAUAUUAAGUUAUUUAUUAAAAUAUUAAUUUAAAUUAUUUAAAUUAAGUAAUUAUGAUAAAAUUAGUAUAAAAUAAUUUAAAUAUAUUUAUUAAAUUUAGGUUAAUUAAAGGAAUUCGGCAAAUUAUUUUUUACCUGUUUAUUAAAAACAUGUCUUUUUGAGAAUAAUUUAAAGUCUAACCUGCCCAAUGAUAAAUUUAAUGGCCGCGGUAUUUUGACCGUGCUAAGGUAGCAUAAUCAAUAGUUUUUUAAUUGAAAGCUGGAAUGAAGGGUUGGAUAAAAAAAUAACUGUCUUUAUUUUAUUUAAUUAGAAUUUUAUUUUUAAGUUAAAAAGCUUAAAUAUAAUUAAAAGACGAGAAGACCCUAUAGAGUUUAAUAUUUUAUAUUAUUUAUAAUUUAAGAAUUUAAUUUAUAAUUUUUAUGAAAUAUUUAAUUGGGGUGAUUAAAAAAUUAAAUUAACUUUUUUUAUGUAAAAACAUUAAUUAAUGAAAAUUUGAUCCAUAUAUAAUGAUUAUAAGAUAAAAUUACCUUAGGGAUAACAGCGUUAUUUUUUUUAAGAGUUCAAAUCGAAAAAAAAGAUUGCGACCUCGAUGUUGGAUUAAAAUUAAUUUUUGGUGUAGAAGCUAAAAAAUUAGGUCUGUUCGACCUUUAAAAUUUUACAUGAUCUGAGUUUAAACCGGUGUAAGCCAGGUUGGUUUCUAUCUUUAAUAUUUUAUAAUAUUUUAGUACGAAAGGAUUGAAUAUUAAAUUAAUAAUUUUAUAAUUGAAUUAUUAUAAUAGAGUUAUUUUGGCAGAAUAGUGCGAUGGAUUUAGAAUCUUUAUAUGUAAUUUAUAUUACAAAUAA